AACACCCGACCACAAACAGAGCACGGGCUCGCACUCGCCUCCUCUCCAUCUCGCGCAGAUGUCCUUGCCGCCGCCACCACCCACGCCGGCCGCUUCCAGUGAGCUCCGGCGCCGCGCAACACGUACCCGAGCUCCCCACAGUCUGCGCCUCCCUCCCCUCUAGCCAGUUUCUCCGCUCCCAGCCUCUAUCGCCCGCUCCCAUCCCCACCCCCAUGGCUAGGGUUUCGGGCAGGGCUUCGCCGGCGCGUCUCCCGCUCGCCGCCUUCUCCCACCACGCCGGCCUCCCUUCCCUAGCUACCCUCCCGUCGUGGAGCACCCUCGCACUGGGCACUCCUUUCUCUCCCCCUCCCGGCUCCUCCCAUCGCCGAACUAGAGCACCAACCGCUCCUCCCCCACCCCCCGAUUUGGGGCAGCAACACCAUGAACUAACACCCAGGCGACGAUCUCCUGCUAGUGUGGGUUAGUGUGGGCUUGCUCGAUCUGGGGCAGACCGGCCGGUUCCGGUGUGGAGAGAGGAGGAGGAAGGUGAGACGGGAGGCCAAGGCAACAGCGAGAUCCAUGUCGAGCCGCCAUGGCCAUGACCAGAUCCACGAUGAGGUUAAAUGGGGCCGGCUGCUCCCUACAGGACGACGAAACUCUCCAUGUAUUGACCCGACGAAUUACAAGAGCAUCUUAUCUGGAUUUGGUGUUCUGUUAAAGGAGCAAGGAGCUAGGGGAUUCUUCAGGGGAUGGGUACCUUGCUUGGUUACAGUGCUCAGGGGGCUUGCAAGUUUGGGUUCUACAAGUUCUUUAAGAAGACCUACUCAGAUAUGGCUGGGCCUGACAAUGCCGUGAAGUACAAGACCCUAAUUUACCUUGCAGGUUCAACUUCUGUUGAGGUUGGAGAGAAUAUGUAAGGCUAAUGUUUGAGCAGAAAGGAGAGUGAAAAGAUGCAAGAGUGAUACACCCAAGCACUUGAUUUGAGUCAAACCUGGUUUGUUGUACAGCAUUCCACUGUAUUUGUCCGCACAAAUACUUCUUGAUAUUUACUUAUGAUAGUUUUUCUCCAUAGUUCAGUAUCUACAGCUCUAUUCUCCUAAUAUAGUCAUAUUGUCCAUAUAAGUGUAGAUUUUAUUUUGAGUUCUACUUGGAUGCCACUCUGAAGGCGAAUUCUUCCUGGGUGCAUCAUGCACAUGUGUCUUGCCAUUCUAUAUUCUCAAGUCUGAACUUCAGAUUCUCAAAGGUUUUAUUCACUCACCAGCUCUGAUUUUUGGUGUACACGGUACACCGUGAGGCAAGUAGGUUGACAUGUCACCGUGAGGCAAGAAAGUUGACAUUUUGAUCUGUUAUCAUGAGUGUCAUGUUUACUCUUGUAGUUCAGUUGUUAAGCUUAAGCUAAAGAUCUGAUUGUACUGUCUAGAGGUGGAAUGGCUAAGCUCUCUUUAUAAUCCUUUUACUGGAUAUCUUGCAAAUGACACACUAAAGGGCAUGAAGUUAUUAGGUGUGUGGGUAUCAGUCCACUAUGUUCUUAUGUCUAUGGAUCCGCGAAAUGUUUGACGCUUUAUUGGUUUUGGUCACAAAAAUGUUUGGUGUACAUGCUUUCAUCUUGAAUAUAUGUAGCUCUAAAUAAUGCUACUUCCCAGUUAGUUCAUUGAAGUAAUAAUACAAUCAAUUGGAUGUUCUUCUACUGUUA